GAUGAAGAACGCAGUGAAAUGCGAUAAGUAAUGUGAAUUGCAGAAUUCCGUGAAUCAUCGAAUCUUUGAACGCAUAUUGCGCCCCCUGGUAUUCCGGGGGGCAUGCCUGUCCGAGCGUCAUUGCUGCCCUCAAGCACGGCUUGUGUGUUGGGCCUCCGUCCUCCUCCCGGGGGACGGGCCCGAAAGGCAGCGGCGGCACCGCGUCCGGUCCUCGAGCGUAUGGGGCUUCGUCACCCGCUCUUGUAGGCCCGGCCGGCGCUUGCCGACACAUCAAUCUUUUUUCCAGGUUGACCUCGGAUCAGGUAGGGAUACCCGCUGAACUUAAGCAUAUCAAUAAGCGGAGGA
rnacentral:misc_RNA from 1 species